GGGCCACGCGGACCCCGCGCGCGCGCCCAACGCAUCGGAGCCAACCAGGAGGGGGCAGCUUCCUUUUGCAGCCGAUCUUAGGGUCCUGGCUGCAGUAGCUGGGGGCGUGGGGUUCAGGAACCCCCAGGGCGGGUCGUUGUGACGGGCUGCGUCCCCUGGUGGUGCAGAAAUGCUGUCCGGAGGCCACCGGCCUUGGGUGGGCCUGGUUUUCCGGUGGGCCAGUCCUUAUGCAGCCGUCAUGGUCACCUACGGAAAGCGUGGGCCUUGUGGAACCCCGCAUGGAACGGGGCGGAACCACGUCCUCUGCCCAUAGGCCCAUUCUCGUGGCGGCGCAGGGGAGCAGGAAUCCAGCUGUUCCACGCUCCUGAGAGGGGCAGUUGCAGGCCCUGAGGCUUCCGCAGCAAGGGAUGAAGCCAGCAUUUGGACCAGGCAGCGUGGGUCAAAGGGCCCUGGUGCCUGCACACCUGGGCUGGGGACGGAUUCGCCCUGAGGAGGCAGGAUCUGGUCACAGGGAGCUGAGGCAGAGGUCAGAGGCCUGCCAGGGGCCAGCCAUCCUUUACCGCCUGCAGAAGUUGGGCUGGGGGCUGCUGAGAGCAGCUGGGCGUCUCCCAGCCCCAGGUUCUCCUGGCCAGCCCGCCUGCGAGCCGAGCCGAGGAUGCUGAGCGUAAGCUGGCAGGGAACCCUGCCUCCUCCUGGCUGGAGGAGGAGGUCUGCUCUUAGGGGACUGGGAGGUGGGGGGCGGCAGGCAGCUGAGCCCUCCCCUCCCCUCUUGGGCAGGCCCAGGGAGAGGGGGCUGCGGUUCUGAGUGCUUUGCCAAGAGCCAACAGCCUGGUGCCCCCAAAUUCUCUUCCUCAUCCCCCAGCUCCGCUCCACUGUCCCCUCUCCAUAGGGGAUGGGGCCUUCCCAUCCAGCCAAAUGGAGCGCCCCAGCCGGGGGGCUCAGCCCUGCUGUCCACCCCUCAGCCCCACAGGGCCUUAGACCUGCUUCUCCCUGAGGCCUCCAUCCUGAAAUCAGGUGGGCGUGCAGUCAGCGGUCCGUGUUUCUUCCCUGAGCACACCUGUCCCACAGUCAUCAUUCAGAAGCUGCCAUUCAGAGAAAAAGUCGCCUAGAGGCACAGGGCUCAGAAGCAACAGGGCCGGCUCCCCUGGCCCAAGCCACCUGUGCCCCCCCCCCCCCCCGCCACUCCCUCCCCAGCCCUGCUUUUCCUGGGCUCCUCCUGCAGGAGUUUUCCCUGCAGACGGCAGAAGGGCAGGCCCGCGACCUUGCUGCCUGUGUCUGGCAGCUGCCUGUGCCUGGCACUGGGCAGCCACACGUACAGGUCUUAUCCUGCCAGCUCCCUGUGUGAUUCACUCCUCUCCCAGAGCCCAGCCCCUGUCCAGCCCGGGUACAGGGAGCAGGGAGUGAGGAUAGGGCAGAAGGCGAGGUGUGAGUUCUAGCCCCUCCCUUGGGUAAGCCGUACCUGUUCUCCCAGCCCAGUAGGACUUACGGCAGCAAGGCCUGCCCUGCUCCCCUCCCAUGGCUGCUGCUCUGAGAGGCCCCAAGAAUGUGGAUAUGAAAUUUCUUUGGCAAUCUUGCACCAGCAGCAGGCGGGGGCUGGUCCCACACUGCCGCACGUCAAGAGGGAUGGCAGGAGGAGGGGGUGGCCAGGAGCUCACCCUACAGGUGGCAUCAGCCCUAAGGGACCCCCAGCCCCCUUUACUCAGUCCACGGGCCAGGCCGAGGGCUCCUGGUGGCUCUUGUGGACUGAAUUGCGUCCUAAAAUUCAUGCAUCGAGGUCCUAACCCCAACAGCUCAGACUGCAGCUCAUUGACUGUGUUUGGAGGCAGAGUCUUUACAAAGGUGAUCAAGAUUGGAGUUCCCAUUGUGGCUCAGUGGGUUAAGAACCCACCUAGUAUUCAUGAGGAUGUGGGUUCCAUCCCUGGCCUCCCUCAGUAGGUUAGGGAUCCAGCGUUGCCCUGUGCUGUGGUGUAGGUCACAGAUGAGGCUCCAGUCUAGGGUUGCAGUGGCUGUGGUGUAGGCCAGAAGCUGCAGCUCUGAUUUGACCCCUAGCCUGGGGACUUCCACAUGCUCUAGGGGCGGCCCUAAAAAGACAAAGUGAGGUCUUGUGGGUAGCCCUCAAUCUGGUAAGACUGGAAGCCUGAUGAGCAGAGGAAGCCUGAACACUCCAAGACCAGGGGUGCCUGUACCCAGAGGGUCAAGCCUAGAAGAGGCGGCAGUGGGAGGCAGCCAUGGAGGGGCCUCAGGGGAGACCAGCCCUGCUGGCUCUUUGAUCUUAACUUACAGAACUUCUCUCUGCACCCCCACUGGGGAAACAAAUUUCUCUUGUUCAAGCCGCCCAGUCUGUGGUAUUUUGCAGCCUCAGCAGGCUGCAGUGACCUUCCACCUUUCAGUCCAGGGUCCUGUGGUCCUGGGUUGGGCCUGGCCGAGGCAGGACCCCAUGCUUGAACCAGCAGGAGGCGGUAUGGACGUAAAACCCAGGAUUUCAGAAGAGGUGCUUCCUGCAGUUGAGCUGGAUGGGGAGAGGGCUGGGCAGGGGGUCAGGACCCACAGGAGGGCGGUAGGCCCGUGACUCUGACCGAGCUCAGCGCUGGGGGCAGGGGAGGAAAGAGGCGGCGUUGUCCCAGUGCAGCCGCCAGGCCCCUGGUGCUUGCCAGGUCCUGGUGGGCCCGUCGGGAGCUGGCUGUGAAGACCAUCAGAAGAGCCAACGGGAUCCUCAAGAGGCCGGGAUGGCUCGGCUGUCUGUGCUCACAGGUUCCCUGAACCGAGUUCCCUUGCUGGUCUUCCAGACACCCCACCUGUCACCUUGCCCACCUGUCAUCUGGGCCCUGGCCCCUUCCCUCAUGUCUGCCCGGGACCUUUCUUACAAUGCAGCUGGGUCCCCGGACAGCUGGCUCCAGGGCCCUCCCCCUGGUGCCCCUUGCACGGCCUCACUUCCACGUGUGAUGCUGCAGAACAAUGCGGGGGCCCCAGCCUGCCACCAGCCUGGCAUGUGCACAGCUGGCCAUUCCUCCUCGGGGCCUGGAUGUGUCCCGCAGGCAGCCAGCCGGAGAGCACGGGCUCAGCUCAGCAGCCUCGGUCCCAUCAGUCAGGCCCUGCCCUGCCACCUGUCCCUGGGCCCAGGCCAGUCUGCGGGCUUGGGCUACUGCCUGGUGGCAUGACGGUCCCAGCAUUGGCCAGCGGCUUCUGGGCUGCACUGGACCUGUCCGGGGGACCUCGCACGAAAGCUUUCUAGACUCUGACAUCCUGUCUAGGCCCAUAGCAUUGCCACGCAAUGCCCAUGGUAUCCUGCCCACUGGGUCAUCCAUGCCUGAGGCCCACUGGCUCUUCCUGCCCACGGAGCCCUGGCCGCCAGUGGGGACCUGUCACCAUUCCUCCUGUGGCCUCUGACCUACCUUCCCUCUGUCCUGCCCGGGAGCCCUGCAUGUUUACUGUGACAGCUGCUUGCUUAUCUUCUCAGGCUCCCUCCCCGUGAGGUCAGCACCCAGCUUGACAUCAGAAUGCUGCCGGGGGGGCGGUGGGGAGGACACUGUGUCAGCUGCACGGCGCUGCCCUCUGCCCUCCGCCCUCUGCCCACCAGCCUGGAGGAAGAGUGUCCACCUGCCACCCGCCAAGGCUGACUGCCUGAAAGAGCAAACUGCUGAGUUACAAAAUCACAGGGCCCUCAGAUCAGGGACUCUGGGUCGGCUCACCCCCUUUGCAGAUGGAGAAACUGAGGCCGGAGGGGGGCAGCAGCCUCAGCCUCUGAAGGAGCUCGGACUCAGGCUCGGUGAGCCGCGCUGUGUGCCGGUCCUGGCGGCGGCAAGGAUCCAGCCCCGCGAGCAGAGCUGGGCCCAGAGGGUCAGAUCAUCCCAGAAGCAGAUGGAGGACGCGAGGCGCAGAGGUUCAGUCUGCCGUGCGGGCUGGGAUCGGAGCCCCGCGUUACCUGCGCUAACACACACGCACUGUCUGUUUCUAGAGGCAGAUUCCUCCAUCGGCAACCAGAGUGACAGGAAGACCUGUUUUUAUUCUGGAAACCACCAAAAAAUCCUCAAACCACCAAACACAAAGAUAAGCAAGGAGCCUUUCAGCCCUCUCUCAGAUGCCCUAAUGUCUCAGGGCCCUGGGGCUUUGUUUACGUGGCUGGGCAGAGAGGCAGCUGUCCCCACCUGGGGUCUCUUGCUUGCCAGGCUGCCGCUCAGGGUGAACGUGACAAGGGACUUGGGCAGACAGUCCAGGGGCAGGGAAAUGUCCAAUUCUUGCCUCUCAUCCUCAGGACUUCUCACGGGAAGCGGCUGUGGUUUUAGGAGCCGAGAUUAACCGUGGCAUCUGGACCUGUAAGGAGGAUGGCGACGCUGCGGGAGGAAAGGGAGUUCCAGCGAAACUCCUGGAACGAGCUGAUCUUCCACUCUUUCUCUCAGCAGCCAGCGGGCUCCUUUUAAAAAGGAAAUCUACAUUUUUCCCCACCCUCCCCUCUGCCCCCAGCCCCCCCCCCCACCGCGUUGGUCGGGCUGCUUUUUUGCUCCUGGCUGAGCGCCCCAGGCAACUCAUCUCUUCUUUUCUGCACCCACGGCAUAUGGAAGUCCCCAGGCGAGGCGUUGAAUCCAAGCUGCAGCUGCCAGCCUACACCACAGCCACAGCCACAGCCACUUGGUAUCUGAACCGCAUCUGCGACCUACGCCACAGCUUGCAGCAAUGCCAGAUCCUUUAACCCAAUGUACCAGGGAAUCUGUGUCCUGGUGCUUCAAAGACACCACUGAUCCCAUAGAGCCACAGCAGGAACUCCCAAAGUUGAAUUUCAAUCCGGGGUUGUAUCAGGAACACUGACUGGGGCAGAUGUUAGGGCACGGGGACCAGAGCACACCAAACAGCACCUUCCUGUCGAAAGGUGAUGGGGGAGCUGAGUUCCCAUUGUGGCUCAGAGGUAAUGAACCCGACUGGUUUCCAUGAGGAUGCUGGCUCGGUCCCUGGCCUCGCUCAGUGGGUUAAGGAUCCAGUGUUGCCCUGAGCUGUGGUGUAGGUCGCAGACGAGGCUUGGAUCCCGAGUUGCUGUGGCUAUGGUGUAGGCUGGCAGCUGUAGCUCUGAUUCAACCCCUAGCCUGGGAACUUCCACAUGCCGCGUGUGCAGCCCUAAAAAGACAAAAAAAAAAAAAAAAAAAAAAAAAGGAAGGAAGGAAAGAAAGGUAACAGAGUUCCCUGGUGGCUCAGCAGUUUAAGGAUCUGAUCUGGCAUUGUCACGGCUGUGGCUCUGGUUACUACUGUGACGUAGGUUUGAUCCCUGGCUGGGGAACUUCCACAUGCUGUGGAUGCUGCCCCAAAAAACCCCAAAAGGUGACAGGGCCCCUCAGCUCCAUGUAGGCACAUGGACCCUUGAUAUCAGAUUGUUGGAACUUUCAAGGGAAGCCAGAAACCUACACUCUGUGUGUGUGUGUGUGUGUGUGUGUGUGUGUGUGUGUGUGUGUGUGUGUGUAAUCUUGUGAUUUUUAAGUAUUGGCAACUAAUUCCAAUCCACAAUAUAAAACAUUUGGCGGGACAACAAAGCUGGGAUGCAGGCCAGAAUCACUGAGAGACCAGCCUGUUUGUGACGUCUCACUGAAAACCACACAAGUUAAGCUAGAUUUGAAAAUCAUUUUUCAAUGAUAGAGACUGGGGGUACCUAGCAGCAAGGAGCAGGUAUGUAUGCCCCAAACAGCACAGAAGGAAGAGUUUCUAGAGAGGCAACAAGACAGCAGUCGACGGGAACCUACCCCGUGCAGAUGGAUUCAGCUGAGACAGGAGCCAGAGCCCAGCGGAGCCUUAGCGAAAGUCCAGGCUCAAAGUCCAGGGCGCCAGCUCACUCCGGAAGCAGGAGUAGGCAGACACCACGUGGGAGAUUAGCCCCAGGAGCGUGGGGGGGGGGGUUGAAUCUGGGUUUAGGGAAGUGUGGACAAAACCUCCCAGCCAUCAAGCCUUCCACCCCCGUAGCCACCCCAACUAUGCACCUGAGGGCAUUCAGGAUGGAGAAAGGGGGAGACGGGCCCUGGAUAACUCAGGUGCACAUCAGAGGAAAGAUUCUGAUGAGCCCAGAAGCCUGCACCUUCUCAAGCACAGAAAAACAAUAAAUCACUCAUGUG
rnacentral:lncRNA from 1 species